rnacentral:rRNA from 1 species
UACGUAGGGUGCAAGCGUUGUCCGGAAUUACUGGGCGUAAAGCGUGCGCAGGCGGUUUUGUAAGCCAGAUGUGAAAUCCCCGAGCUUAACUUGGGAACUGCAUUUGGGACUGCAAGGCUAGAGUACGGCAGAGGGGGGUAGAAUUCCUGGUGUAGCAGUGAAAUGCGUAGAUAUCAGGAGGAAUACCGAUGGCGAAGGCAGCCCCCUGGGUCGAUACUGACGCUGAGGAGCGAAAGCGUGGGGAGCGAACAGG